UACGUAGGGUGCGAGCGUUGUCCGGAAUUAUUGGGCGUAAAGAGCUCGUAGGCGGUGUGUCGCGUCGGUCGUGAAAACUUGGGGCUCAACCCUGAGCUUGCGGUCGAUACGGGCAUCACUGGAGUUCGGCAGGGGAGACUGGAAUUCCUGGUGUAGCGGUGAAAUGCGCAGAUAUCAGGAGGAACACCGGUGGCGAAGGCGGGUCUCUGGGCCGAUACUGACGCUGAGGAGCGAAAGCGUGGGGAGCGAACAGG
rnacentral:rRNA from 1 species